UCUGCCUUCUGCUACUACUGUUCCUCAGGGACAGCACUUUUUUUGCUUUUCAAUCCUUGUGCAGCUGUCACUGUGGGCAAUGGAGGAUUUGCAUGAAUCCUUCCUUCUAUAACAGUAAACAUGAAGAUGCAUUGCUUGGGUGAUCAUGAAGAUCUGUCUUUCUGCGCAGCAUGAAUCUCAAACUUAAAGGCCACUCUCCUAAUGAAGGACUUGCAAAUCUACUCAUUUGAAGGAGACCAGAAUAAUAAUGAACAUGGCUGAAUUCAAAGUAGACACUCAGGAGUCUCACUCACUUAAAUAUAUACCAAAAAUGAAACUAAAUCAGA